GAUGAACGCUGGCGGCGUGCCUAAUACAUGCAAGUCGAGCGAACGGACGAGAAGCUUGCUUCUCUGAUGUUAGCGGCGGACGGGUGAGUAACACGUGGAUAACCUACCUAUAAGACUGGGAUAACUUCGGGAAACCGGAGCUAAUACCGGAUGAUAUUUUGAACCGCAUGGUUCAAAAGUGAAAGACGGUCUUGCUGUCACUUAUAGAUGGAUCCGCGCUGCAUUAGCUAGUUGGUAAGGUAACGGCUUACCAAGGCAACGAUGCAUAGCCGACCUGAGAGGGUGAUCGGCCACACUGGAACUGAGACACGGUCCAGACUCCUACGGGAGGCAGCAGUAGGGAAUCUUCCGCAGUGGGCGAAAGCAUGACGGAGCAACGCCGCAUGAGUGAUGAAGGUCUUCGGAUCGUAAAACUCUGUUAUUAGGGAAGAACAUAUGUGUAAGUAACUGUGCACAUCUUGACGGUACCUAAUCAGAAAGCCACGGCUAACUACGUG
rnacentral:rRNA from 1 species